rnacentral:rRNA from 1 species
CCUACGGGAGGCAGCAGUGGGGGAUAUUGCACAAUGGGGGAAACCAUGAUGCAGCGACGCCGCGUGGGUGAAGAAGCGCCUCGGCGCGUAAAGCCCUGUCAGCAGGGAAGAAAAUGACGGUACCUGAAGAAGAAGCCCCGGCUAACUACGUGCCAGCAGCCGCGGUAAUACGUAGGGGGCAAGCGUUAUCCGGAUUUACUGGGUGUAAAGGGGGCGCAGACGGCGCUGCAAGCCAGGAGUGAAAGCCCGGGGCCCAACCCCGGGACUGCUCUUGGAACUGCGUGGCUAGAGUGCAGGAGGGGCAGGCGGAAUUCCUGGUGUAGCGGUGAAAUGCGUAGAUAUCAGGAGGAACACCGGUGGCGAAGGCGGCCUGCUGGACUGCAACUGACGUUGAGGCCCGAAAGCGUGGGGAGCAAACAGGAUUAGAUACCCCAGUAGUC